AAGAAAAACCAGAUCUUUAUUUAGGGUGAAAGCUAAAUAUUAGGAUCUAAAGUCCGAUCCCAAUGUAGUUUUUUUUUUGUCACGAUGAUAAUAUAUUUUAGGGAAAUGAAAACCCAAUCAACAGGAAGCAUCAUGGAAGAAUCAAUUGGAAGUGAUUAGUCACGCAUAAUGAUAAUUUUUUUUUGACGGGAGAUAAAGUCUGAAUUCUGGACCUCCCACCCCUAUCAUGACCAACGGUCCAAAUCGGUGUUCCGAUCCCAACACAGUUGAGAGGUGCUAACUGCAAAUAACCCAUUUUUGUCUGCUAAAUUCACCUGGAGAGGUAGUUCCGGCACAUCAUCAAGUCCUAUCCGUGGAAUGAUAUGCUAAAUUCACCCAUAGCCAUAUGAUAGGGGUAGUUGCGGCACAUCCCGAAGUCCCAUUGCUUGGCACCUGCAACCUACUCCUGGAUUCAGUCCACGGUCGUGAUGCCACGGCGGUUGGACCCAUCUUGGAAAACCUGGUUACAGGUAUGUGUUUGGAGAGAGAGAGCUUGUGGACAAGUUUUCUUUUCUUUUUGUUUCUUUUUUGGGUUUAUUCUUAUUGUGGCAUUAUUAAAACCUCCACAAAAAAUUACAAUUGAAAUAUUUUACACCAACUCAAGUUUUUUCUUUCCAUCUCGACCUUUUAAAGAGUUAUAGAAAACAAAUCUAUAGUAAAAUUGAAUUAUGUGACCGAACAAAUCAAUUCACUUUUAAAUUUUUACUAGGUGCGAUGUAGAACAUAGAGCCGAAUGUUUAUAGUUGUCAUUUUGCCAAUAUAUUUGAAUAAUCCAAAUUAUGUUGACUAUAUUAAAUGUCUCACAGUCCGGUAAGAAACUAUUGGUUUGUUUGGAUUGUGAAUUAUUAGAGAUAUUUUUACUGUAGCAUUUUUUGUGAUGUGAUGUAUGUGAGAUAAAAAGGUAAUUGAGAAGAUAAAAAGGUGUGUUGGAAAUUGUAAUGAUGAUGUAAGCAAAUAUAUUUUGAUAAAUAAACUCUUAUCCAAACAAACCCUAUGAAUCGAGUAAUCCUAUAAGAUAAACUGUUAUGAGUUAUAUUUUAUUUUCAAUGCCCGAAACCACACUACUAAUAUAUAUAUAUUUUUUACUGUAAGGUAUUCUGAUUUGGCCAGAAUCACCUGAAUGGACCAGACUACUCCUUCCAAGCUGUGAGAGUCCUGCC
rnacentral:lncRNA from 1 species